UUUUAAAAUUUUUUAUUUUUAAUUUUAUUAGUUUCGAAUCAAAAUCGAACGCAACAUUUACACUCCCCUAAGCAGUUUCCCAACUUAAGGCUUAAGCUUGCCACAUGUCCCUCCUCCGCAACGCGCGUCAAGGAAUCGAGCUGUACACACCCUUUAGUCUUUUAAUUACGAGGCUUCCAUUUUUUUUUUUUUUUUUGGCCCUUUCCAGUUAAGAGGUGUUUUACCUUUUUUGGUACGCUGAAAAUCCAUAAUUAUUAUUUUGGAUGAUUAAUCAGUUGCAACACUGCCAGCUAAUUUUAUUUUUAAUUUUCCUUCUCCUUUCAAAAAUCUUAAUUAUCUCCACCAUAACGCAAGAUCAGGUUUUGUAAAAUCUUCCGAGUAAUACCUUGACGCGCGGAACCAAGCCACUUACGAUCAGAAAAACCCUACAAAUGGAGGGCACGGAGAACGUCAAAUCACACGGAGAGAUAACGAAGCAACCACACGUCUUGAAACAGAGAAGAUUUGUGGAAAGAAAUGAAAUGGCCCCUGAACGAUAAAGACGAUUGUGAUCCAUUUUUAAUUAAAUUCCAUUUUCGAUUUAAAGUUAAUUAGAUGUGAUUUGGUUUUAGGUGAUGAGUAAUUAGUCCUGAAUUUGGCCAUUCAUGGCCACAACUCUUUCAUAUAUCGUUGUAGGUAUGUACACUAAAAAAUAUAUAGAUAUCAAGCUCCUGCUAUCGGAUCCAAUAAAACAUGUCCGUUGCGAUUCUCGUGCGCUGCCACUCGCCGGAACUGAGCCUCUCCGUCGCAGGAAAAUUACAACAAUUAAUCGAGCAAGAAGUUUGUUGUCUGAAAUACCCCUAAUUAUCACAAAUCUUCGGCUUUGCUCAUGACAGAGAGCCGACUCGGUCGAGACUGGAAAGCUGCGCGCCGCCUUUGCUGGUGUGAAGACGGCCGAAUCAAAGCUGACAAAGCUCUCUUGACCAAAUCACCCUCCACUCCACAGAUUCUCACCAACGAGUUAGUCAUCGCCGAUCUGCGCGCGUUUAAGCGAGUAUUAGGCGAGCAAUUGGGGGCGGAGUGUGAAUUGUUCAUGUUCUUGUGGAGGCUGCAACGGAAGGACCCCGGGUGCGUCGUAGGCGAGCACAUACAAGUUCUCUUGGUAGUUCUAGGCUCCCUGACGACUUGUUGGCCGCGAGGAGUAUUGAUGGUGGAGAUGGAGCGAUUGGGGGAGAUCGGACGAUCAAGUGAGAUACGUACAGAAGGGGCAGACGGAGAGUUUCCGUACAAGUUAACACGAGUUGGGGAUGCAGAUCUGUGGUAUUGGUGGUACCCAGAAAAUAAGGUAGAGGAGCGAGAGGCGAAGCUGGAGGUGGAAGAAGCGAAAGCAUUUGAAGUAGGAGAGUGAGGAAGGUGGAAUCUGCCUGACGGAGAAACCGAUCGGAUGACCGGUCCGCUCGAGGAUCUUCUAGAAGAAGUUGCCGCCAUUUUUUGUUUUCAGGCUUUGAGAUUGCAGGAGAGAGUGUGAGAGAGGAAGUACUCAGAGAUGACAAGAGAGAGAAUGCCUUUAUUUUUUUUUUUUUCUUUGAAGCCGGCUUUGG
rnacentral:misc_RNA from 1 species